GAAAGUUGCACUGAUGGAGAAGAAACUGUGAACGUUGUCACUGAAAAUGAAAGUUGCAGUGCACUAAUUGAAGGAAUUUCAUGUUUUGAGGGUUGUGGAAUUGAAAGUUGCACUGAUGGAGAAGAAACUGUGAACGUUGUCACUGAAAAUGAAAGUUGCAGUGCACUAAUUGAAGGAAUUUCAUGUUUUGAGGGUUGUGGAAUUGAAAGUUGCACUGAUGGAGAAGAAACUGUGAACGUUGU